UACGUAGGGGGCAAGCGUUGUCCGGAAUCAUUGGGCGUAAAGAGCUCGUAGGCGGUCUGUCGCGUCGGAUGUGAAAACCCAGGGCUCAACCCUGGGCCUGCAUUCGAUACGGGCAGACUAGAGUAUGGCAGGGGAGACUGGAAUUCCUGGUGUAGCGGUGAAAUGCGCAGAUAUCAGGAGGAACACCGGUGGCGAAGGCGGGUCUCUGGGCCGAUACUGACGCUGAGGAGCGAAAGCGUGGGGAGCAAACAGG
rnacentral:rRNA from 1 species